rnacentral:misc_RNA from 1 species
GAUGAAGAACGUAGCGAAAUGCGAUAAUUAAUGUGAAUUGCAGAAUUCAGUGAAUCAUCGAGUCUUUGAACGCACAUUGCGCCCCCUGGUAUUCCGGGGGGCAUGCCUGUCCGAGCGUCAUUGCUGCCCUCAAGCCCGGCUUGUGUGUUGGGCCCUGCUCCCCCGGGGGCAGGCCCGAAAGGCAGUGGCGGCACCGCGUCCGAUCCUCGAGCGUAUGGGGCUUUGUCACCCGCUCUGUAGGCCCGGCCGGCGCUUGCCGACCCCCAUCAAUCUUUUUUCAGGUUGACCUCGGAUCAGGUAGGGAUACCCGCUGAACUUAAGCAUAUCAAUAAGCGGAGG